rnacentral:rRNA from 1 species
UACGGAGGGUGCAAGCAUUAAUCGGAAUUACUGGGCGUAAAGGGCGCGUAGGCGGCAAAUUAAGUUAGGUGUGAAAUUCCGGAGCUCAAGUUCGGAGCUGCACUUAAUACUGAUUAGCUAGAGGAUAGACAGGGAAAACGGAAUUUCGCGUGUAGCGGUGAAAUGCGUAGAUAUGCGAAAGAACACCGGUGGUGAAGACGGUUUUCUGGUCUAUAACUGACGCUGAGGCGCGAAAGCGUGGGGAGCAAACAGG